rnacentral:misc_RNA from 1 species
AUAAAAGAACAGUACAGAAGACAAAAAGCACAAGACAAAGCAAAAAUGAUAACCGUUGUUCAAUGGGAUGGCUACAGGUGCAUAUACAUCCCCCAAGUUUGAGAAUUUGUACCAUUUACCGACCCUUUUAAGGAGUAAGAUGAAAUCCCUCCACACAGAAAGAAAUAGAACAUUCAUAUUGUGAACAUGACAGACCCAAAGCAAAUAUUGCACUUUCCUAAGCUGUUUGUCUAUUCUAAGCUACCACAUUCUACAAUGCAUUCUUUUGGCCAGAUUUUGAUAUGUCCACAUGCCUGAAGAACCACCCCCUCUCUUGUAAAGAGUUGAAAUUAUUGCAAUGCAUAAACUAUCUCCCCACUGCUAUCCACAUCAAGCUCAGAUUCAGAAUCAAAGUCCAGCAUGUCAUCAUC